rnacentral:rRNA from 1 species
AGAGAGAGACAUGCGCGCAUAUCAAUAAGCGGAGGAAAAGAAACUAACAAGGAUUCCCUUAGUAACGGCGAGUGAAGCGGGAAGAGCUCAAAUUUGAAAUCUUCAAGGUUUUACCUUGACGAAUUGUAGUUAUAAAGAAGUGUUUUCUGCUGAAGUUUUGGUAAAAGUUCUUUGGAAUAGGACAUCAUAGAGGGUGAGAAUCCCGUAUUUGACCAUUAUUUUCAGCUUUGUGAUACACUUUCAAAGAGUCGGAUUGUUUGGGAAUGCAGUCCAAAAUGGGUGGUAAAUUUCAUCUAAAGCUAAAUAUUGGCGAGAGACCGAUAGCGAACAAGUACCGUGAGGGAAAGAUGAAAAGAACUUUGAAAAGAGAGUUAAACAGUACGUGAAAUUGUCAAGAGGGAAGCGUUUGACACCAGUGUUGUUUUCUCGAAAAUCAAUUAAAAAUGGCUCGAUUUUGUAUUGUUGAGACCUUAAAAGCUCACUGUACAUUUUUCGUGUCUUUUUUAAUGCACUUUUCGUUUAACAAGUCAACAUCAGUUUCUUUUGUUGUAAAAGGGUCAUUGGAAGGUGGCUUUCUUUUCGGAGAAAGUGUUUAUAGCCUUUGGCCUCUGCAAUCGGAAGAGACUGAGGUCUGCAGCGUAGACUCUUCGGGGUUAGAUACAUUUGUGCUAAGUUAUAGCUUUUUAUAGACAACUUGUUGACUAUAAUUAGUCUUGUAGCUUACUCGCUUAUGCUAUUUUACCUACGCUUAGGAUGUUGAAGAUGUAGCACAUCAU